rnacentral:rRNA from 1 species
UACGUAGGGUGCGAGCGUUAAUCGGAAUUACUGGGCGUAAAGCGUGCGCAGGCGGUGAGCUGUGUCCGAUGUGAAAGCCCCGGGCUUAACCUGGGAAUGGCAUUGGAAACUGGCUCGCUGGAGUGUGGCAGAGGGGGGUGGAGUUCCGCGUGUAGCAGUGAAAUGCGUAGAGAUGCGGAGGAACACCGAUGGCGAAGGCAGCCCCCUGGGCUAACACUGACGCUCAGGCACGAAAGCGUGGGGAGCAAACAGG